ACCUUCCAAAUCAGGGUGCGGCGCGGCCCCCGAGGAGCGGAAACAAUCCUUGGGAGGUAUGCGGGGGCUUCGAGCCCCCCAUUUACGCACGCACGACUGCCAUCCUUACUUUACGAGCACCUUCUGUUCUCCCUCGGCGGGGCAACCUGCCGUUGGAACCGAAUAAACUCUUUUUGCAUCUAGCAUUACCUGUUCCGAAACAAACAAUCGUUA
rnacentral:misc_RNA from 1 species